GAUGAACGCUGGCGGCGUGCUUAACACAUGCAAGUCGAACGAAGCAUUUAAGACAGAUUACUUCGGUUUGAAGUCUUUUAUGACUGAGUGGCGGACGGGUGAGUAACGCGUGGGUAACCUGCCUCAUACAGGGGGAUAGCAGCUGGAAACGGCUGGUAAUACCGCAUAAGCGCACAGUACCACAUGGUACAGUGUGAAAAACUCCGGUGGUAUGAGAUGGACCCGCGUCUGAUUAGCUUGUUGGCGGGGUAACGGCCCACCAAGGCGACGAUCAGUAGCCGACCUGAGAGGGUGACCGGCCACAUUGGGACUGAGACACGGCCCAGACUCCUACGGGAGGCAGCAGUGGGGAAUAUUGCACAAUGGAGGAAACGCGGAUGCAGCGACGCCGCGUGAGUGAAGAAGUAGUUCGCUAUGUAAAGCUCUAUCAGCAGGGAAGAUAGGGACGGUACCUGACUAAGAAGCGCCGGCGAAAUACGU
rnacentral:rRNA from 1 species